UACGUGGGGGGCAAGCGUUGUCCGGAUUUAUUGGGCGUAAAGAGCGUGUAGGCGGUUAGGUAGGUCCGUUGUGAAAACUCGAGGCUCAACCUCGAGACGCCGAUGGAAACCAGCUAACUAGAGUCCGGAAGAGGAGAAUGGAAUUCCUGGUGUAGCGGUGAAAUGCGCAGAUAUCAGGAAGAACACCCGUGGCUAAGGCGGUUCUCUAGUACGGUACUGACGCUGAGACGCGAAAGCGUGGGGAGCGAACAGG
rnacentral:rRNA from 1 species